UACGUAGGGGGCAAGCGUUGUCCGGAUUUAUUGGGCGUAAAGAGCGUGUAGGCGGUCAGGUAGGUCCGUUGUGAAAACUCGAGGCUCAACUUCGAGCUGUCGGUGGAAACUAUCUGGCUAGAGUCCGGAAGAGGAGAAUGGAAUUCCUGGUGUAGCGGUGAAAUGCGCAGAUAUCAGGAAGAACACCCGUGGCGAAGGCGGGUCUCUGGGCCGAUACUGACGCUGAGGAGCGAAAGCGUGGGGAGCGAACAGG
rnacentral:rRNA from 1 species